GUGCCAGCAGCCGCGGUAAUACGUAGGGGGCAAGCGUUGUCCGGAUUUACUGGGCGUAAAGCGCGUGUAGGCGGCGCGUCAAGUCGGGUGUGAAAGCCCGGGGCUCAACCCCGGGAUGCCGCUCGAAACUGGCGCGCUUGAGGGCGGAAGAGGGGAGUGGAAUUCCUGGUGUAGCGGUGAAAUGCGUAGAGAUCAGGAGGAACACCCGUGGCGAAGGCGGCUCCCUGGUCCGUCCCUGACGCUGAGACGCGAAAGCGCGGGGAGCGAACGGGAUUAGAAACCCUAGUAGUCC
rnacentral:rRNA from 1 species